UACAUGUACAGCACAGGAUCUUUCUCAUAUGU
rnacentral:piRNA from 1 species